rnacentral:pre_miRNA from 12 species
CUCCGCGGAUGAGGGGUGGUCGUCUGAUCCCGGGCGAGCCCCCAAAUGAGAGACCUCCGAAGAGGGACCCUCACUCUGUCCCGCAAAUCGACGGUGACCCCAAUCAGCCGCAGGAGACA